CAAUCCCAACCUUUUACAAUAAAUGCAAUGUAAAACUUUAUUUUGUGAUUAAAUGUGGGGAAUUAAUUCUUUGAUUUAGAAAUUUCUCAGAAAAUUAUCUUCAGAAUAAGAAAUCAGUGUGGCGUGUCAAUGUUACAUAAGUGCUAUUUAUAAAUAGUUAAUGUUGUAGAGUAUCAUUUGUUGUGUUUUGUUUGUAAUUGCUCACCUUAUGAAGGAUACUGUUACCAUGGUGAUCUGCUUGUCAUGUUUCAUGUGAUCACAAAAUAAAUAUAAACACCUAUUGUUUUGUGCUUUUGAUUAUUAUUUUAUUUUAAUGGUAGAAAAUCAUGCAUUACAUAUAGUUAUGGCCAAGGUGGAAUUUACUUUCUUAUUUCUUUAAAACGAAGUGGAUUAAUAAUACACAAAACAUAGCCAGAAAUUAGUAGUACUUUUGCUAAUUAAUAUUCAUAAUAUGUAUAUGAGAAUUGUACCACGUGAUAAUAGUUUGAACUGGACUGGUUCUGAUAUCAUUAAAAUCUUUAAAUCACGG
rnacentral:lncRNA from 1 species